rnacentral:rRNA from 1 species
UCCUACGGAGGCAGCAGUGGGGAAUAUUGGACAAUGGGCGAAAGCCUGAUCCAGCCAUGCCGCGUGUGUGAAGAAGGUCUUCGGAUUGUAAAGCACUUUAAGUUGGGAGGAAGGGCAGUAAGCUAAUACCUUGCUGUUUUGACGUUACCGACAGAAUAAGCACCGGCUAACCCUGUGCCAGCAGCCGCGGUAAUA